UACGUAGGGUGCGAGCGUUAAUCGGAAUUACUGGGCGUAAAGCGUGCGCAGGCGGUUGGUUAAGUCUGAUGUGAAAGCCCCGGGCUCAACCUGGGAAUGGCAUUGGAAACUGGUCAGCUGGAGUGUGGCAGAGGGGGGUGGAAUUCCGCGUGUAGCAGUGAAAUGCGUAGAUAUCGAGAGGAACACCAGUGGCGAAGGCGAGUCCCUGGACAACUCCUGACACUGAGGCACGAAAGCUAGGGGAGCAAACAGG
rnacentral:rRNA from 1 species